rnacentral:rRNA from 1 species
CACUCCUACGGGAGGCAGCAGUGGGGAAUAUUGCACAAUGGGCGCAAGCCUGAUGCAGCCAUGCCGCGUGUAUGAAGAAGGCCUUCGGGUUGUAAAGUACUUUCAGCGGGGAGGAAGGCGAUAAGGUUAAUAACCUUGUUGAUUGACGUUACCCGCAGAAGAAGCACCGGCUAACUCCGUGCCAGCAGCCGCGGUAAUACGGAGGGUGCAAGCGUUAAUCGGAAUUACUGGGCGUAAAGCGCACGCAGGCGGUCUGUCAAGUCGGAUGUGAAAUCCCCGGGCUCAACCUGGGAACUGCAUUCGAAACUGGCAGGCUAGAGUCUUGUAGAGGGGGGUAGAAUUCCAGGUGUAGCGGUGAAAUGCGUAGAGAUCUGGAGGAAUACCGGUGGCGAAGGCGGCCCCCUGGACAAAGACUGACGCUCAGGUGCGAAAGCGUGGGGAGCAAACAGGAUUAGAAACCCCGGUAGUCC